AGAAUAGGCCUACGAUAUUACUAUACGAAAACAAAGAGGCUACAGCUAUCGCUGAGAGGACAAGCCACAUUGCUUUUCAUACCUCCUCCUCUAAACUAGAGAUCAUCCAGCGGGAUCUGGGAUCUUUUGCUUGCAUAUCCUGUAUCCAUAUCUUCAAUCCCUGCACCACUAAAAGAGAAGUCAUCAGCUUUGAGUCCCACAGCUCUAUACAUCAUGAGGCGCUUUUGGUUUCUAGCAUGAGCUAACCAACAGACAACUGUAUCUGUGUCACCUGGAAGAGCAUCAUAGAAGGUACAUGUUCAUACCACAAACUAACCUAUUGUUUCUUUUAAUAUAUAUGGGGGUUUUGUAGUUAUAGAUUUCACUAGGCAAGCAUUUCUAAAGCAUUAUUUUAUUUCGUAAAAUUAUGUUUAUAUAUUCAGACAAGACAAUUGUGGUGUGAUGUGAAAUUUGAAAGUGGGUGAGCUAUCUGGAUUUGCUCUUUCCAUCAGAGAGCAUUUGACAUUUAUUCACCAUUAUUACAUCCAUUUUCUUUGUUUUAAAAAAAAAAAAAAAAAAAAAAAAUUACUGACACUGAUGCCUGUCCUUUUGAUGACACCCUGUGGAUUGGUUUGCCAUUUUCAUGUAGUCAACCAAAAUAUGCUCCAAUACAAGUUCUCAUAUUCAAAAUAAUGCGUGAUCUUGUCACUACUUACAAAGCUUAUGAAAAAUAUUUUUUGCAAACAAACAAAAAGAAAAAUGAAAAAAAAAGAAAACCACUUAAAUCCACCAUAGUAUUUUGAGAUAUGUUUCGUUAAAAU
ensembl:lncRNA